rnacentral:snRNA from 1 species
GUACUAGCUAUGGCAGUACAUAUUCUAAAAUUGGAACGAUGCAGAGAAGAUUAGCAUGGCUCCUGUGCAAGGAUGACAUGCAAAUUCGUGAAGUAUUCCAUAUUUUU